rnacentral:lncRNA from 1 species
GGUGGUCUAAAGUCUCAACUCUCACUCUCUCAGGAAAGGGGUUUUGUAUGCCACAAAUGUGAAGUAAAAUUUUAAACAUUUGUCAUCAAAAUAAAUCGGUUUAAAACAUUGGUAAAAGAACUCGCAGGAAAUGAAGGUGUUUGUGGUAAAAAAGCAAACAACAUUAUCGAGCCAUCUUUCAUAAAGUGGAUUUUUCUCCAUUCCCAAAUUUUAGCUAUUACGGGAAGUGACUGCCCUCUUCAUAGUUGGACGUGUCGUCUUUGCAAGGAAAUAGGACAAAAUCACACCCAUUCUCUCUGACUGUCACGGAGACUCGCGACUCUUGAGGAUCGCUUCCUUUUAUAGUUUGGUUGCCUUUUUUACCAAUGCCAUUGCGUUGCGUUAAUCAACAUAGACGAAAGACCCUUAGAGUCAGGAUGGAUGGCGAUGGGAUCAGCUGGAUCCUUUUAUUCCGAUGAGAAAAUGAAAGGCUAUUUUCUACAAGCUGGCCAUCCACCCUGUUUUGAGACACAGUUUUCAUCAUUCAAGUCCGAGGGGACAUUGCGCUGGAUAAGAUAAAUGCUCAAAUCAAAACAUUGCCUCAAUUUAAAGACGUUGAGUUUGGUGAAUUGAGUGCUCAAGCCAUUAUUCCAGGAAGCCAUCGGGUAAUUUCUGCCAUCUCUAAACCUAGAACGGAACACGUAUUUUUUAAAACUUCUUUGCAUAUUAUAGCGCAGUUUUUAAAAAAAGACAGCAUCGAACGUAUCCUGCACAAUGUAAAGGCAGUCAGUUGCGUGAAAACCCAAUUUAAAUAAUUUUAUUUUUUCUCCUUUCUCGCUGAUCUGCAAAUCACACCAUCCUCCCUUAAGUGAUGACGAGUGUUAGAAAUGUUUUAUGGCUCUGUAUAGCUCUACGCUACGCUCUACUUCAUCAACAACGCACUUGAUUCUUUCUGUUGGGUAUUCUUCGGAAUAAACUAUAAUUACCUAAAAUCUGGGGAUCAUUUAUCGCGACGUCAAACUGGAAAACAUUCUUCUUGAUUCACAAGGCCACGUUGCGUUGACGGAUUUCGGACUUUGCAAGGAAUUCCUUCCACAUGAAAAGAAUGCCAGGGCUGAUUCGUUUUGCGGUACCAGUGAAUACAUGGCCCCAGAGAUUGUGCGAGGUGGAGGCGCAGGCCACGAUAUGGCUGUCGACUGGUGGGGCGUUGGAGUGCUAACAUACGAGCUGCUAGCAGGCGCCUCUCCCUUUACAGUCGAAGGAGAGAAAAACAACCAACAGGAGAUUUCCAGGUAAUGAUUCGUACCUAAAAAAAAAACGCUGUUCAUGACAAAUAACAACAUGCAUUUGGUUAGCAAUGAUGAUGAGACAUUUGAAAACGGCCGUAAGACCCGAAUUUGUUUGUCAUUAACAUUUGUUAGAUUUUCAACAUUACGUGUUGCAUGUAUUGAUUAUUGAAUUGAUAAUUUGACCGAAAUUAUUUUGAUUUUUGUGAAGACAAGAUGGCUGUAACCAAGUCUGAAUUAUGGGAAUAUUAUAUAUAUACAGUACUACAAUGA